UACCAGCACCCCGAGCGGUCGGGACGAUUAUUGGGCCUAAAGCAUCCGUAGCCGGUUUUACAAGUCCCCCGUUAAAUCCAGCUGCUUAACAGAUGGGCUGCGGAGGAUACUAUAAGACUAGGAGGCAGGAGAGGCAAGCGGUACUCAGUGGGUAGGGGUAAAAUCCGUUGAUCCAUUGAAGACCACCAGUGGCGAAGGCGGCUUGCCGGAAUGCGCUCGACGGUGAGGGAUGAAAGCUGGGGGAGCAAACCGG
rnacentral:rRNA from 1 species